UGUAUAUGUUUGUAUUAUCUCACUAAAUUGAUAAUUCUAUAUACCGAACGAACUCAAUUCAACUCCCAUCCACCUAGGAUAUUUUUGGUGAAAGUUCUCGAGUUUUCAUUACUCAUAACAGUAGGCUAAAUGUGUCAGGUGGGCAUUACCAACUACUGUAUCAAACCUUAUAUGUAAGAAGUUACAGGGUUACUGAAGUUUCUUCCCACCCAUAAAAAAUAAAAUAUAUAAUUUUUUAAGGUUCUUAUUUAUCUGAUUUUAAAAGCAAUGCUCAUAACAUGGCAAUCAAAGUGAUGAUACCUUGCAAAUUAGUCUGCUAGGAUGUAUUAGAAUCCUUGCUGUUUCUUCAGACAGGAGGUGCAUGUGAUUUUUUUCCUGUGAAAUAUGGUACCAUGUAUUUUGUAAAUAUAGCGGAAAUAAAAUAAUUAAGUAUUUUGUAAUAAGGAAGUCCUUCUCGCGGAGAAGCUGGACGACACUAUGUGAGUUGUUGCCUCUCCUGCAGACGACGUACAAGUACGACUGUUUAUCCAAGGUGGCGGAGGAGGAAUCGGUCGUUUUCAUUCAGUGAGGUCUCGAGCAUAUGCAGCUUCUCCUCCAGAACAAAGAGCAGAAUGUUCAGAGAUCCAGAAAGUGAAACUAUUUGGAAGUUAUGAGCAGACCAUACGUCCAGCAGCAGACGAGGUUCACCCUUGUCGAUCAGACUUUUGUACUCUGUAAGCUGUACAAGUGAUGCAGACACUCUCUAGCAGCAGGUUCAGGCUUGGCACCGAUUUCCUUAUGUCAGAUGAAUAGGUUAAAUGUCCUAACUUCUCAACCUGGAGCACUUGGUGAUUCCGCCAAGUUGCCACCGUUAAAACGAUGUUUUCGUAUCUUAUGUACAAUCAAAUUGGCAAUGCGACUCCUUGGGGGCAGGGCUGGAAGGUGUGUGACUGCCGAGGGAAGAGGAAGGUCACCUUACAAGCCUAGAGGUAAGGUGUUCAACAGGUUCCCUCAUGAUAUGCAGAGUGACCUCCCUCACGGUAUGGCUGUAGAGGCAGCUGGUGUAUGAAGAGUCCAGCAAGACCACCAGUCAGAACAAGGAACCUGAAAGUGAAGCAACGAUAACGCCACAGCCUAAGAUUGCAUACAAGGCUUUGUUUUCUUCUUCACGUCUCCUUUUUUCACAAGUUAUUAUUUCUAUUCGUAAUUUGUUAUCAUUCUGUUAUAUGCACUGCUGAAGGAAGAGAAUGCCCAACUUUGGAGCGUAAAUGAAAUCAUUCAAGUGGCCACU